rnacentral:rRNA from 1 species
UCGUGGAAUAAUCUGUCUGCUUAAUUGCGUCAAAAUUUUCAGGCACACUCUCUGUUACUAGGAGCUGUUGUUGCUUCAUUUGUGUUUCGGCACAUUUGAUGGUGGCGGCGGCGACUAUGAGAUGCUGUGUCUUUCGAAACGGACGUGACGCUCACCCCUUCUUGCUUGCAUGGUAGCAUAGUUUAACUUCGGUUAGAUUAUGUUACAGAUCCUG